rnacentral:rRNA from 1 species
UUAGGGCACGACACCGGAGAGGGAGCCUGAGAAACGGCUACCACAUCCAGGAUGGCAGCAGGCGCGCAAAUUACCCAAUCCCGACACGGGGAGGUAGUGACAAUAAAUAACAAUACGGGGUUCUUUAGGAUCUCGUAAUUGGAAUGAGUACAAUUUAAAUCUCUUAACGAGGAACAAUUGGAGGGCAAGUCUGGUGCCAGCAGCCGCGGUAAUUCCAGCUCCAAUAGCGUAUAUUAAAGUUGUUGCAGUUAAAAAGCUCGUAGUUGAAUUUCGGGGUUAGUAGGUUGGUCAUGCCUCUGGUAUGUACUGGUCUCACUGAUUCCUCCUUCCUGAUGAGCCGUAAUGCCAUUAAUUUGGUGUUGCGGGGAAUUUGGACUGUUACUUUGAAAAAAUUAGAGUGUUUAAAGCAAGCUAACGCUUGAAUACAUUAGCAUGGAAUAAUGAAAUAGGACGUUCGAUCCUAUUUUGUUGGUUUCUAGGAUUGACGUAAUGAUUAAUAGGGAUAGUUGGGGGCAUUAGUAUUCAAUUGUCAGAGGUGAAAUUCUUGGAUUUAUUGAAGACUAACUACUGCGAAAGCAUUUGCCAAGGAUGUUUUCAUUAAUCGAGAACGAAAGUUAAGGGAUCGAAGACGAUCAAAUACCGUCGUAAUCUUACCAUAAACUAUGCCGACUAAGGAUCGGAUGAAUGUUAGUUUUUAAUGA